AAUAGAUACCCGGGUAGUCCACGCCGUAAACGAUGAGUGCUAGGUGUUGGGGGUUUCAAUACCCUCAGUGCCGCAGCUAACGCAAUAAGCACUCCGCCUGGGGAGUACGCUCGCAAGAGUGAAACUCGAAGGAAUUGACGGGGGCCCGCACAAGCGGUGGAGCAUGUGGUUUAAUUCGAAGCAACGCGAAGAACCUUACCAGGUCUUGACAUCCCGCUGACCGUCCUAGAGAUAGGGCUUCCCUUCGGGGCAGCGGUGACAGGUGGUGCAUGGUUGUCGUCAGCUCGUGUCGUGAGAUGUUGGGUUAAGUCCCGCAACGAGCGCAACCCUUAUCUUUAGUUGCCAGCAUUCAGUUGGGCACUCUAGAGAGACUGCCGUCGACAAGACGGAGGAAGGCGGGGAUGACGUCAAAUCAUCAUGCCCCUUAUGACCUGGGCUACACACGUGCUACAAUGGCUGGUACAACGGGAUGCUAACUCGCGAGAGUACGCCAAUCUCUGAAAACCNGUCUCAGUUCGGAUUG
rnacentral:rRNA from 1 species